GACGAACGCUGGCGGCGUGCUUAACACAUGCAAGUCGAACGGAAAGGCCCUGCUUUUGUGGGGUGCUCGAGUGGCGGACGGGUGAGUAACACGUGAGUAACCUGCCCUUGACUUUGGGAUAACUUCAGGAAACUGGGGCUAAUACCGGAUAGGAGCUCCUGCUGCAUGGUGGGGUUGGAAAGUUUCGGCGGUUGGGGAUGGACUCGCGGCUUAUCAGCUUGUUGGUGGGGUAGUGGCUUACCAAGGCUUUGACGGGUAGCCGGCCUGAGAGGGUGACCGGCCACAUUGGGACUGAGAUACGGCCCAGACUCCUACGGGAGGCAGCAGUGGGGAAUAUUGCACAAUGGGCGGAAGCCUGAUGCAGCAACGCCGCGUGCGGGAUGACGGCCUUCGGGUUGUAAACCGCUUUCGCCUGUGACGAAGCGUGAGUGACGGUAAUGGGUAAAGAAGCACCGGCUAACUACGUG
rnacentral:rRNA from 1 species